UUCUGCUGAGAGCAGCGAGGGAUUUCCAGCUGCCGAAUAACUGAACACACACACCACACAGAGAGAGAGAGUAAAUACACACACACACACACACACACAGAGAGAGAGUAAAUACACACACACACACACACACAGAGAGAGAGAGAGAGUAAAUACACACACACACAGGGGCGUCGCACCCGUGGGGGAUGUGGGUGUUUUAACACCCACACUUUUCCCGGUGAGAGGGUUCAACACCCACACUUUUUCUGCAGUUUUUCCGCAGUUUUGCACAAAUGCCUUACUACAGUCGCUCCUCUGUUUCUCUGGCCGCUCUGUGUCUGCGCUCGCUGCGGCUGCCUCCUCUCCCCGUCUCUCUGUGUGUGUGUGGGUGUGUGUGGGUGUGUGUGAGUGUGUGCGUGGGGGUGUGUGUGUGUGUGUGUGUGUGUGUGUGUAUUUACUCUCUCUCUCUGUGUGUGUGUGUGAGUGCGUGCGUGUGUGUGUGAGUGCAUGUGUGUGUGUGUAUUUACUCUCUGUGUGUGUGUAAAUGCGUGCGUGUGUGUGUGAGUGCAUGCGUGGGUGUGUGUGUGUGUGUGUGUGUGUGUGUGGGUGUGUGUGUGUGUGUAUUUACUCUCUCUCUGUGUGUGUGUGUAUACUCUCUCUCUCUCUCUCUCUCUCUCUCUCUCUCUGCUGUGUGUGUGUGUUUACUCUCUCUCUCUCUCUCUCUCUCUGCUGUGUGUGUGUGUGUGUGUGUGUUUACUCUCUCUGUGUGUGUGUAUUUACUCUCUCUCUCUCUCUCUCUCUCUCUCUCUCUUCAUUCCGCUGUGGUCGUGUGUUGCAGGUGGGCUUCAGGUUGUCCCGGUCUCAGGUGAGCGGCGUCCUGUCUGACACCGACCAGGAGGUGGAUGAGUGCAAGCUGCUGGAGAAACCCAGUGAAGAUGAGCUCGUCCUCUUCAUCAUCGACACCGAGGAGCUCAGCGUCCAAGUCAAGCACUUCAGCAAAUCUGACUUCACGCUAGAGUCCAAACUGAAGACGGAGAAGACGGAUGGAGGGAAAGGUAGAACAGAUGCACGUGAGCCCGAAGUGUGUGAGUGUUUGUGA
ensembl:lncRNA